rnacentral:rRNA from 1 species
AACCAGCACCUCAAGUGGUCAGGAGGAUUAUUGGGCCUAAAGCAUCCGUAGCUUGUUCUAUAAGUUUGCGGUUAAAUCUAUACGCUCAACGUAUAGGCUGCCGUAAAUACUGUAGAACUAGGGAGUGGGAGAGGUAGACGGUACUCGAUAGGAAGGGGUAAAAUCCUUUGAUCUAUUGAUGACCACCUGUGGCGAAGGCGGUCUACCAGAACACGUUCGACGGUGAGGGAUGAAAGCUGGGGGAGCGAAAGGG